GGAAGUAAACGUCGUAACAAGGUAUCCGUAGGUGGACCUGCGGAUGGAUCAAUAAAAGUAUUCUAUACUUACACCCUCGCGAACUGUUUCUUAACCUGUGUAUGUGGUGGGGAACGACUUCGGUUUAGUACCUGCUACAUGCAUAUUUUUUACUUCAUUAUUUACCCUUUGUAUCAAUUUGAAUCAAUUUAGUUUUGUGGGAAACCACAUCACUGAAAAAAUAUAAGAAAUUUUCGUGCAACUCUUAGCAACGGAUAUCUUG
rnacentral:misc_RNA from 1 species